rfam:Asian citrus Psyllid, Diaphorina citri - Florida Strain, whole genome shotgun sequence.
GCCAGCGGUGAUAGGGCGUUCAAUGAAUUAAAUCCCAAUGUAUCCCUGAAGUUAAACAACGUUGUGCGUGGUUGGUAUCCGGAUGGGUGACCACCUGGACCAUCGCGUACUGCAAUAG